ACGCUAGCUGCAGGCUUAACACAUGCAAGUCGAGGGGCAGCAUGGUCUUAGCUUGCUAAGGCCGAUGGCGACCGGCGCACGGGUGAGUAACACGUAUCCAACCUGCCGUCUACUCUUGGACAGCCUUCUGAAAGGAAGAUUAAUACAAGAUGGCAUCAUGAGUCCACAUGUUCACAUGAUUAAAGGUAUUCCGGUAGACGAUGGGGAUGCGUUCCAUUAGAUAGUAGGCGGGGUAACGGCCCACCUAGUCUUCGAUGGAUAGGGGUUCUGAGAGGAAGGUCCCCCACAUUGGAACUGAGACACGGUCCAAACUCCUACGGGAGGCAGCAGUGAGGAAUAUUGGUCAAUGGGCGAGAGCCUGAACCAGCCAAGUAGCGUGAAGGAUGACUGCCCUAUGGGUUGUAAACUUCUUUUAUAAAGGAAUAAAGUCGGGUAUGGAUACCCGUUUGCAUGUACUUUAUGAAUAAGGAUCGGUUAACUCCGUGCCAGCAGCCGCGGUAAUACGGAGGAUCCGAGCGUUAUCCGGAUUUAUUGGGUUUAAAGGGAGCGUAGAUGGAUGUUUAAGUCAGUUGUGAAAGUUUGCGGCUCAACCGUAAAAUUGCAGUUGAUACUGGAUAUCUUGAGUGCAGUUGAGGCAGGCGGAAUUCGUGGUGUAGCGGUGAAAUGCUUAGAUAUCACGAAGAACUCCGAUUGCGAAGGCAGCCUGCUAAGCUGCAACUGACAUUGAGGCUCGAAAGUGUGGGUAUCAAACAGGAUUAGAUACCCUGGUAGUCCACACGGUAAACGAUGAAUACUCGCUGUUUGCGAUAUACAGCAAGCGGCCAAGCGAAAGCGUUAAGUAUUCCACCUGGGGAGUACGCCGGCAACGGUGAAACUCAAAGGAAUUGACGGGGGCCCGCACAAGCGGAGGAACAUGUGGUUUAAUUCGAUGAUACGCGAGGAACCUUACCCGGGCUUAAAUUGCAGAUGAAUUACGGUGAAAGCCGUAAGCCGCAAGGCAUCUGUGAAGGUGCUGCAUGGUUGUCGUCAGCUCGUGCCGUGAGGUGUCGGCUUAAGUGCCAUAACGAGCGCAACCCUUGUUGUCAGUUACUAACAGGUUCCGCUGAGGACUCUGACAAGACUGCCAUCGUAAGAUGUGAGGAAGGUGGGGAUGACGUCAAAUCAGCACGGCCCUUACGUCCGGGGCUACACACGUGUUACAAUGGGGGGUACAGAGGGCCGCUACCACGCGAGUGGAUGCCAAUCCCAAAAACCUCUCUCAGUUCGGACUGGAGUCUGCAACCCGACUCCACGAAGCUGGAUUCGCUAGUAAUCGCGCAUCAGCCACGGCGCGGUGAAUACGUUCCCGGGCCUUGUACACACCGCCCGUCAAGCCAUGGGAGCCGGGGGUACCUGAAGUGCGUAACCGCGAGGAGCGCCCUAGGGUAAAACUGGUGACUGGGGC
rnacentral:rRNA from 1 species